UACGUAGGGGCUAGCGUUAUCCGGAAUUACUGGGCGUAAAGGGUGCGUAGGUGGUUUCUUAAGUCAGAGGUGAAAGGCUACGGCUCAACCGUAGUAAGCCUUUGAAACUGGGAAACUUGAGUGCAGGAGAGGAGAGUGGAAUUCCUAGUGUAGCGGUGAAAUGCGUAGAUAUUAGGAGGAACACCAGUUGCGAAGGCGGCUCUCUGGACUGUAACUGACACUGAGGCACGAAAGCGUGGGGAGCAAAACAGGAUUAGAUACCCGCGUAGUCCCUGAG
rnacentral:rRNA from 1 species